rnacentral:rRNA from 1 species
CCUACGGGAGGCAGCAGUGCGGAAUAUUGGUCAAUGGGCUUACGCCUGAACCAGCCAAGUCGCGUGAGGGAAGACUGCCCUAUGGGUUGUAAACCUCUUUUGUCAGGGAGCAAUUGGCGCUACGGGGAGCGUUAUCGAGAGUACCUGAAGAAAAAGCAUCGGCUAACUCCGUGCCAGCAGCCGCGGUAAUACGGAGGAUGCGAGCGUUAUCCGGAUUUCUUGGGUUUAAAGGGGGCGUAGGCGGAAUGCCAAGUCAGCGGUAAAAUCGCGGGGCUCAACCUCGCUCCGCCUUUGAAACUGGCGUUCUUGAGUGGGCUAGACGUAUGCGGCAUGCGUGGUGUAGCGGUGACAUGCAUAGAUAUCACGCAGAACUCCGAUUGCGAAGGCAGCAUACCUGCGCCCACCUGACGCUGACGCACGACUGCGUGGGUAUCGAACAGGAUUAGCUACCCCUGUAGUC